GCGCCUGUAGCUCAACGGAUAGAGCACUCGUCUUCGGAACGAGUGGUUGGGGGUUCGAUUCCCUCCAGGCGCG
rfam:Candidatus Curtissbacteria bacterium RIFCSPLOWO2_01_FTLL_42_26 rifcsplowo2_01_scaffold_3452, whole genome shotgun sequence.